rnacentral:lncRNA from 1 species
CAUUAGACAAAUAGAAAUCGAAGCAAACUCAACAGGACAGGACAUUGAGAAGUACACAAAGUCAUUCAAGUGCAGGAGGGGCCUGUCCUGGAUGAAGACAGAGCUGCAUCCAUGUUUUCAUUGAGUCAGAAGAAAUGGAAGAAAGUUGCAGGUUGAUUUUGUUCUAGGCCAGUGCUGUAAGGAAAUCCAUGUUGGAUAGGCAGGAACAGGAGGGUGGGGGUGCAAGGCGAAGAUUCCAGGCAGUAGGUGAUCACUGGGGUCUUCGGUGUGCAAUGUGAUCUGAGGAUCGUGGAAUCGUGCUGGCUUUCAGAACAGAUGAGAAGCCGGGAGGAGCCUGUGCAGAAGAGGAAGAUCUAUCUGGAAAAAGCUAAACAAGCACUGGCCAAGAGAUAAGCAAUGUUGAAGGAACUGCAGCUUACCAAUCAUGAAACGUGGACUGACCGCCUGCUCCACCAGCCAUAACUAUAGCUUUGAUUGACAAGGGGCUGAUUUCAAUACCUGUCUCCUGUUGAGGUCACCGACCAUGGACUGGUUCUGGCUGGUUUACAGCAGCUGUGCACCGAGUGCCUGUGUCCCUACUUCACACUGUGACAUAUAAGGCUUAAUUGUCAUGCAUUUGAAUGUUAAGUCUCCACCUCAGAGUAAAUAUGGGUCAUAUGUAAUAUGCAUGUUUGUUCAAUGGGUCAGGACACCUUCAUGAAUAUUCAUCGCUCCUCCUAUAAUCUGUUGAAUAUGUAUGUUGAGCCAACCCCUUCAGCAUAAGUUCCUGUCUCACCUUUUCUCCUUUGAAAUGCCUGCUAAAGGUCCCUGCCAGAGGCUAUACUUCCCAGCCUGUCAGAAGGAGCACCUCGUAGGCUGUAACCCUCUGUAAGAAAUAAAGUUGGCUUUCAAAAUUUAUAGACCUUAUCAUUUUUAAGUUGAAAGGCAUGUGGCACAAGCACGGUUGGGGGAACUCAUAUGAGACAAAAUUCUGAG